rnacentral:rRNA from 1 species
UACGUAGGGCGCAAGCGUUGUCCGGAAUUAUUGGGCGUAAAGAGCUCGUAGGCGGUCUGUUACGUCUGCUGUGAAAACCCGGGGCUUAACCCUGGGCUUGCAGUGGAUACGGGCAGACUAGAGGCAGGUAGGGGAGAAUGGAAUUCCCGGUGUAGCGGUGAAAUGCGCAGAUAUCGGGAGGAACACCAGCGGCGAAGGCGGCUUUCUGGACCAAUACUGACGCUGAGACGCGAAAGCGUGGGGAGCAAACAGG